UACGAAGGGGGCUAGCGUUGCUCGGAAUCACUGGGCGUAAAGCGCACGUAGGCGGAUUGCUAAGUCAGGGGUGAAAUCCUGGAGCUCAACUCCAGAACUGCCUUUGAUACUGGAAAGCUUGAGUUCGGGAGAGGUGAGUGGAACUGCGAGUGUAGAGGUGAAAUUCGUAGAUAUUCGCAAGAACACCAGUGGCGAAGGCGGCUCACUGGCCCGAUACUGACGCUGAGGUGCGAAAGCGUGGGGAGCAAACAGG
rnacentral:rRNA from 1 species